rnacentral:rRNA from 1 species
CGGGUGAGUAAUACAUAAGUAACCUGCCCUAGACAGGGGGAUAACUAUUGGAAACGAUAGCUAAGACCGCAUAGGUACGGACACUGCAUGGUGACCGUAUUAAAAGUGCCUCAAAGCACUGGUAGAGGAUGGACUUAUGGCGCAUUAGCUGGUUGGCGGGGUAACGGCCCACCAAGGCGACGAUGCGUAGCCGACCUGAGAGGGUGACCGGCCACACUGGGACUGAGACACGGCCCAA